rnacentral:rRNA from 1 species
GUGCUCGCGGAGUCACUCCAACCCCUGUGACAUACCAAUUGUUGCCUCGGCGGAUCAGCCCGCUCCCGGUAAAACGGGACGGCCCGCCAGAGGACCCCUAAACUCUGUUUCUAUAUGUAACUUCUGAGUAAAACCAUAAAUAAAUCAAAACUUUCAACAACGGAUCUCUUGGUUCUGGCAUCGAUGAAGAACGCAGCAAAAUGCGAUAAGUAAUGUGAAUUGCAGAAUUCAGUGAAUCAUCGAAUCUUUGAACGCACAUUGCGCCCGCCAGUAUUCUGGCGGGCAUGCCUGUUCGAGCGUCAUUUCAACCCUCAAGCCCCCGGGUUUGGUGUUGGGGAUCGGCGAGCCCUUGCGGCAAGCCGGCCCCGAAAUCUAGUGGCGGUCUCGCUGCAGCUUCCAUUGCGUAGUAGUAAAACCCUCGCAACUGGUACGCGGCGCGGCCAAGCCGUUAAACCCCCAACUUCUGAAUGUUGACCUCGGAUCAGGUAGGAAUACCCGCUGAACUUAAGCAUAUCAAAAGCCGGGAGGGAA